rnacentral:tRNA from 1 species
ACACUCUUAGCUCAAUAGGUUUAGAGCAUUAAUCUUCGAAAUUAAAAGUUAUGGGUUCAAAUCCCAUAGAGUGUU